rnacentral:rRNA from 1 species
UGGAUCCAGACUUUGAUCAUGGCUCAGGACGAACGCUGGCGGCGUGCCUAACACAUGCAAGUCGAACGGAACUAUUUUAAAAGAUUUCUUCGGAAUGAUUUUGGCUUAGUUUAGUGGCGGACGGGUGAGUAACGCGUGAGUAACCUGCCUUCAAGAGGGGGAUAACGCUCUGAAAAGGACGCUAAUACCGCAUAACAUAUCGGAAUCGCAUGGUUCUGAUAUCAAAGAUUUUAUCGCUUGAAGAUGGACUCGCGUCCGAUUAGUUAGUUGGUGAGGUAACGGCUCACCAAGACCGCGAUCGGUAGCCGGACUGAGAGGUUGAACGGCCACAUUGGGACUGAGACACGGCCCAGACUCCUACGGGAGGCAGCAGUGGGGGAUAUUGCGCAAUGGGGGCAACCCUGACGCAGCAACGCCGCGUGAAGGAUGAAGGUUUUCGGAUUGUAAACUUCUUUUCUUAAGGACGAAAAUUGACGGUACUUAAGGAAUAAGCUCCGGCUAACUACGUGCCAGCAGCCGCGGUAAUACGUAGGGAGCAAGCGUUGUCCGGAUUUACUGGGUGUAAAGGGUGCGUAGGCGGCAAUGCAAGUCAGAUGUGAAAUCUAUGGGCUCAACCCAUAAACUGCAUUUGAAACUGCGUUGCUUGAGUGAAGUAGAGGCAGGCGGAAUUCCCCGUGUAGCGGUGAAAUGCGUAGAGAUGGGGAGGAACACCAGUGGCGAAGGCGGCCUGCUGGGCUUUAACUGACGCUGCGGCACGAAAGCGUGGGUAGCAAACAGGAUUAGAUACCCUGGUAGUCCACGCUGUAAACGAUGAUUACUAGGUGUGGGGGGUCUGACCCCUUCCGUGCCGGAGUUAACACAAUAAGUAAUCCACCUGGGGAGUACGGCCGCAAGGUUGCAACUCAAAUGAAUUGACGGA